AGAUAACGUUGCUGGCCAUGGAGUAGGACUGACGCAGACAUCUCUACUCUCAGAGUGUUACUCUGGGCUGAGCCAACUCUUCAGCCAUCUAUCCUGAAAUGCUCAAAUGACUGACGCCUCAUCUCUAUCAACACCAUUGAAGCUCUCUGCUGAGUGUGCAUAUCACCACAAGUUCAUGCACGUAUUUGGGCAAGAAACAAGGACCUUAGUCAAGACAGGCCACUGAAAACAGUUUACAAAAUGGGGCCAUUUCCACAGUUGCAUUCGAGAUACAGAAAAACCAUAGAGAAUGUGGAUGUGAAGGAUGACCUCAUGCCACAGAUGCACAGAUAAAAUUCAGCCUGGGAAGACAAAGAGAAAAAGAGGAUUGGAUACACCAUGCACAAAACCAUCUCCUGUGGCUUCUCCUUGAAAAGUGCUCUCAGCAGGUGAGGUGAGCCCUUGAGCAAUGACAGCCCUGACUUGCAUACAAGCCAACCUUCCAUUGGAUCUGGGGGGACCAGUACUGUGAUUGCCUCUGCAGCUGAUGGCCUGUGUGCUGUAUGGCUUGGAGAGACUAUGCAGCCGUGUAGAGCCUCUGCCUUUAGCUGAUGCCUCAUAGCUCUGGCAUUUCCAGCAUCUUGGAGUGUUCCCUGUGACCCAUUUUCCCACUCUCAGAGCUUCAUGAAAUGGCCUUUCACAGUUUUGCAGAGGGCCACCAACCAUACAUUGCCUGGCCUCAGCAGUUCUCUGAAACUUUGGAUGAAGGAUCCACGAGCUUCUCUCUUGUACCCAGUGUGUCCUGAAGAAAAGCUCCAGCUUUGGAAGGGCCUCAGAAGGAGCUUUGUAAAAAUGAAUAACAAAGACCUGAACUCUGAUGAGGACCAUCCCAGGCCAGUUCUGCCAGCGGCUGCAGUGGAAUUGAAGGGACCCGGGAAUACUGCGUCUCUGCUCCUCAGGCAUCUUUGAGAGCGAGUGGCCAGGGAUCUGAGGUAUCUUCCUGCACCCAGGAACUGGAAGGAGCAGGAAAGUGCCCCUGGGAUGCUGAGUGUGGUGUCCUUAUAAGCAAGAAACUGACUGAGCUUGGGCUGACUCCGAAAGAACAGAACCUGAGAGCUGAGAGGCCCCUGUGGCUCUCUCCACUCUCUCUGCUCUCUCUGUAGCUCAUCUCUAGCAACUGUCCCAGGCGAUGCCAAAGCUUGGCUUCACUCCAGUACCUGGGAAGAAGGUGAAUUAUGUAUGGCAGAUGCAGUCUGCCUUCCAAACGGUUUACAAAUGGCUUGUCUGCACCACAAGACACUGGCUUGCCCAAAGGGCUCUAAACCAACAGCCAAGCCAUUUGUCUAGUGAGUGAAGCAACAGAGGUGAAGUGAAAGGAGAGGCUCAGGGCUGGAACCUGGGAAAAAGACGCCCAUCUCAGGGUUUGCUCAAUGCUUGGAAGAGGGAUGGUGUGGUGCUAGCCCAUGCCUCGUCUCUGCAGAUGUCCCCUGUAAAGCAUUAAGCC
rnacentral:lncRNA from 1 species